rnacentral:misc_RNA from 1 species
AUAGCAGCCAAUGACGUCAUAGAAAGUAUACACCAACGUUCGAACAUAUGAAAAUACCAUGUUUGUUUCAUCAGUAAUUGAAUAAUUCGUGAAUAGGUGGGUAUAAUAGAAUUUUACAUUGAUCAGAAAGACUUAGUCUUGUUGGAGACAUCAUCAGUGUUGUGCGAUUGUAGAGACAGGACGGUUGAAACUGAUCAAGAUUUAGCAGACAGGAUAAAUCGAAUAGCUUUACAAGACUCAUCAAAAAGGAUUAGGAAGACAAUUAACAAUAAGAGUCAAUUAUUAAGUAAGGAGGAAGGGAUGGGACUUACUUAUCUCAACACGGAACCGAAUUUAAAGGUGCUCAUCGUUGCGAACGUUCACAAAGCAGUUUUUACAAAUGCUAAGAUAAAGGCCCAUUUUGAAGAACUCUUCAAACUUUAUUCAAAGGAAACAAGAUUCGAUUAUCUUCCUAGUUUAAGCCGAGUUCGUGUGGAGUAUGACUCUGAAAAAAAUGCUGAAGUCGCUAAAAAUGCUUACAAUAAACAAAAUGUUCUUGGAAAUGUUGUUCAAGUUUUCUACGCCAAAGUAGCCGUUACUAUUGAUAGAGGAGGAGGGAAUUUCUUACAAGUGCCUGAACGUGAACGAAACUUUCUCAUAUCACCACCAGCUUCACCGCCAGUCGAUUGGGAGCCUAUACCUGAAACACAUCCUAAUAUAGAUUAUGAUUUAUUGGCGGCUGUCGCAAACUUAGCUCCAGGGACAGAGCACGAAUUGAUUCCAGCAACUGGAAAUCAUCCAGGCAUCAUUGUACACAUCAGCGAAAAUCCUGACGGUUUCACCAAUUCGGAUAGGCCUAAAAUCAUACAAACUAGACGACCUCAAUUUAAUGAAUAAAACGAUGAAUAUACAUACAGUAUAUGUAUAUAUCUAGUUUUAUUAUAUAUUUAUUUUUCUAUAAAAAAAAAACUAGUCGUGUUUUCUUAUUUUUUGUUUAGUUUAUUUUUUUAAUUUUUGUUUGUAGUCUGUUUUAUUUGAGUGUGCUUAAAAUAAUUGUAGUAGUAUUUCCUUUUGUCGUUGCAAUAUAAAAAAUUUAUUUAGCACUUUGCCAGUAAAUUUUAUUAUAGUCAGCACCGACAAUAAAGCGGGGAAUGAAAUUCUGCUAUACUAUUUGAUAAGAUACCUAUUAUUAUAUAAUAUAUUGAUAUCGUAUAUGUAUAUACUAUAUAUUAUAUAAUAUAGGAUAUAGUACCACCUAUACAUAUUUCAUAAAGAUAACUAUUAGAGGUGAAAAACACCAUGAUUGUAUUCGUUAUCAUCUAGGUUAUUGUCAUGAAUGGUGUGACACUGAUAUACAAAAUACUUCCUAUCUUUCGUAAUCAAUGUCAAUUAAACUUGAAUUUUAACCAUGUGUUAUGAUUUUUCAAAAAACAAUUUAAAAUCAGACAAAAAUAAAAUCCAAUUACAUGUAAUUAAUUAUGUAUAUAUUCAGAUAAAAACCGAAGUAGACCAAUUUAACGCUUUUAAAUGAAUACAAAAUGAAAUGUAUUGAUAAGCUUUAACUGUAUUUCUUUCGAUAGAAUUAUAUAAUUUUAAUUAGUUUCUUGUUUUUCGAUCUCUUAGUAUUAACGUCACUAUUAUUAAAUACCGACAAAAAAAAUUCAAUAGAUAGGGUUGCAUUUUCCUAUCCAUUGCAGUACACUGUUAAAGAUAUAUAUAGUAUAAAUGUCUAUAUAUAUAUAUAUAGGGAAAAAAUCAUUAUGUGUGGCAUUACCGGAGGCUACCUUUGGAGAAGUUUAUAUAUAUAUUUUGAAAUUAACCGUGAUAAAAUUGUUGUCAUGAACGAAGCUUUUAAAAAGAGAAGCAAAAAAAAACAAAAAAAUUUUCCCUCAUCUUCACUCACAUAUACUUUUAUAAAAACAAAUUAUGAUAGCUUUUAUUCUCCCUCUCGUACUCCUUAUUGGAAAAGUACUGUCAAACAAUACAACAUUUAAAGAAUCUCUAGAGAAUGCUUCAUUGACUACGGGACGAUUGGAUGUCGCGACGCCGAUUAAACACUUUGAGGAUGGCGUCACUUGCGUUUAUAAAAUCAAUAAGGAAAAGAUUCGUAUUUGCGAAAGGAAUAUAUUUGGUGCCAGAAUUUGCAAGGAAUUAUAUAAUGAAAUUGACCUUAGUGCCGAAUGGAGAGGUAGAGAUGAUGGAAAAGAGGAGUUAUACAAUAAUUUAACAUUCAAAAUCUUUUAUUGUCCUUAUGAUGGUCUACCCUAUCAGUAUAAAUGUUGUGAUCAUCGGAUAAAAAAGAUGGGCUGUUGCUCGAAAACUGAAUUAUUCGGUUUAUCAGAUUUUAAUAGAAUCAUUUGGAUUGCUUCUCUAGGAGUUUCUUUCAUUUCAAUAAGCCUUUGCUUACUUGGGGGUUAAUUUGUUUUUUCUCUUUAUUUAUACUAUGCCUCCUCCCCCCUUCUCUUUAUUUUAUCUCUAAUCUAUAUUCUCUAUUGAUUUCAGUCGUCUCUAUUUAUCGAUGUUGUAAAAAGAAGAAAAUUUUUACAGAGCCUAAAGAUGAAUUUUAUCACACUCUAAUCAAUUCUAGUUAUACGAAUUUUCCAAUUUCAGAGCCAGACUCUAAUUACAAUUACGGAAUUCCAAAAGUAGAAGUGAAACGUUCUACACGAAUUGUCUAAAAAAUGAAAAAAGCUAUUAUCACCUAAUUUAAACGCGAUAGAAGCCUUAACGAAUGAUUAAUAAUUUUAAAGUUAUCUUG